rnacentral:rRNA from 1 species
GCAAAACAUUAUUUAAGUCUGUACUCCCGAAACUAAGUGAGCUACUUCAAAAUAGCUUUCUGAGCCAACUCGUCUCUGUCGCAAAAGAGUGAGAAAAUUUUUUAGUAGAGGUGACAAGCCUACCGAACUUAGAGAUAGCUGGUUUUUUGAGAAAAGAAUAUAAGUUCUGCCUUAAAAAUACUUAUGAACUCAUAMCACAMCAUAAUUUUUAARAGUUAUUCAAAUAGGGUMCAGCCUAUUUGAAACAGGAAAUAACCUAAAAGAUUGGGUAAUUGACCUAAUAAUAUUAAAGUUGACCUAAAAGCAGCCACCUUUAAAAAAGCGUCAAAGCUUAAAUAUAUUAUAMCAAAAUUUAUUAAUAAUUAUAUAACCCACCACCUUUAUCAAAAAAUUUUUAUACUAA